ACAGUGGACGCGAGCAUCUGUGGCCAAGUUUUUAAGGGCGCACGGUGGAUGCCUUGGCACCAGGAACCGAUGAAGGACGUGGGAGGCCACGAUAGUCCCCGGGGAGCUGUCAACCAAGCUUUGAUCCGGGGGUUUCCGAAUGGGGAAACCCGGCAGUCGUCAUGGGCUGUCACCCGCUGCUGAACACAUAGGCAGUGUGGAGGGAACGAGGGGAAGUGAAACAUCUCAGUACCCUCAGGAAGAGAAAACAACCGUGAUUCCGGGAGUAGUGGCGAGCGAAACUGGAUGAGGCCAAACCGUAUGCGUGUGAUACCCGGCAGGGGUUGCGCAUGCGGGGUUGUGGGAUCUCUCUUUCACGGUCUGCCGGCUGUGAGACGAGUCAGAAACCGUUGAUGUAGGCGAAGGACAUGCGAAAGGUCCGGCGUAGAGGGUAAGACCCCCGUAGCUGAAACAUCAGCGGCUUGUUUGAGAGACACCCAAGUAGCACGGGGCCCGAGAAAUCCCGUGUGAAUCUGGCGGGACCACCCGCUAAGCCUAAAUAUUCCCUGGUGACCGAUAGCGGAUAGUACCGUGAGGGAAUGGUGAAAAGUACCGCGGGAGCGGAGUGAAAUAGUACCUGAAACCGUGUGCCUACAAGCCGUGGGAGCGUCGCACAGGGACUUGUCCUUGUGUCGUGACUGCGUGCCUUUUGAAGAAUGAGCCUGCGAGUUAGCGGUGUGUAGCGAGGUUAACCCGUGUGGGGAAGCCGUAGCGAAAGCGAGUCCGAACAGGGCGUUUGAGUUGCACGCUCUAGACCC
rnacentral:rRNA from 1 species